AAGGAUUCCCCCAGUAACUGCGAGUGAAGAGGGAACAGCUCAUCAUUGGAAUCAGGCAGGGCUUGACUCUGUCCGAGUUGUAGAUGAGACGAGUAGGUUCAUCUGGACUGCAUGGCACUCAAGUACGAUAAUGCCCAUCAGUGGGACAUCAUAGAGGGUGACAAUCCCGUCUUUGGUGCCGAUGUUCGAGUCUUUUACGAUGCCUAUCUCAGGAGAGUCGAGCAGUUUGGGAUUGCUGCUUCAACACGGGAGGUAGACACCUUCUAAAGCUAAAUAUUGGCAAGAGACCGAUAGUGGACAAGUACCGCAAGGGAAAGAUGAAAUAGCACUCUGUAAAGGGAGUCAAAAAGACGUGAAAUUGUUGCGAGAGAAGCGAUUCGAGUCAGCUUGACUAGGACCAUCGCACGAUAUUUCUUCCUCUGGACUAGUCUCGCCAGCGGUCUCAUCUUGUUUUUAGGGGUUUGACCGAUGCGCCCUCAGCGGUGCGGCUGGUGGAAUGACUUGCAAUCGACCCGUCUUGAAACACGGACCAAGGAGUCUAACAUGCAUGCAAGUCAAACCCGUAUGCGCAAUGAUAAGGGUGGAAAGUAACUUUUGGUGAUUGCUGUGUGGCUUGACGACCAGACACGAAACGUUGUUGUCCCUCGGAUGGCCACUGCCCCAGGUUCCGUGGUACGACCCACGAACAUGGAGACGGAGCAUGCAUG
rnacentral:rRNA from 1 species